CCAAAUGUAGCUCAAUGGGUAGAGCAAUCGACUGUUAAUCGAUGUGUCGCGGGUUCGAUCCCCGCCAUUUGAA
rnacentral:tRNA from 1 species